CUCUCCUCUCCUCUCCUCUCCUCUCCUCUCCUCUCCUCUUCUCCACCUCUCAGACACGACUCAGGCAUCAGAGUGGGAGCAAAUACUGAGAUGCUGUUCACAGUACAGAAUCCUCAUUAUCCUCAUCCUCUUCGUCAUACACAUCUUCAUCAUCAUCUUCCUCCUAAUCAUCAUCACCAUCAUCUUCCUCCUAAUCAAUAUCAUCAUCAUCUUCUUCAUCAUCAUCAUCAUCAUCAAACUCACACACCAGAGAGCAAAUCAAAAUCCAAUACAACAAAACCCCAAAAACCCAAACAAAUAUUACCAUAGAGACAAAAAAAAUUAAAAAUAAUGAAAACAUGACAAGAAUGAUCAGUGCGGGCUAAAUAGAAUGUUCUCUACAACUUUACAAAAAUGCAAACGUUUUUGUGCUUAUCCUUCGAUGUGUUUCGCUGGAUGAGUAAAAUGUCUGCUGCCUGUGUUAAUUCCUCAGCAGACUGGGUUACAUGUCUCCUUAUUUGGUUUGGCUCUUUCUAGGGUGUCCCAUCCCGACAUGGCAGUUCCUGGCCGGGGGCCAUUAGCUAAUCACUGGGUUACCGAGGAAAACGAGCCAACAACAGACAAUGGCAUGGCCUCAGGCACACACACACAGUCCAUGAUAUUUAUACACACAGAUCGGGUCAUGUGGGAGAGGGGGAGGGAGGGGGCGGCACUGUGUGAGCUACAUAUCAAACAGAACCAAACAAAAAUCUCCCAGCAGAAAGAAAUGGCUGCCAAAGAAAACAAUUUACUGCAUCAGAGGAUUGCUAAUGUAUGAAAAAAUGGUUAAAACAUUUCAAAUCUGAUUUUCAAAGAGCAAAGAUUUUGGAGCACUUCACAGUAAAUUACAUAGAUUUCUCAUUCUGGUGUUGACACAUUUAAAAACUGCCUCUGUUUGAUUGUAGCAGCUAAACAGCAGAAGGACACAGCAUGAUUAUACAUCAUGGGGUAGAGAAGAAGAGACUGAUUGUGUGUGUGAAACACGUAUGUGUGUGUGUGUGUGUGUUUGUUGAGCUGUUUCCCUGAACCCAGCCAUGUGUUGGCAUUUCUACCCAGCUAGAUCAUGUGCUUACACUACAUUAAUCUCAUUUAGUAUUCUACCUCAGUGGGUUAGCCCUUCACAUUAAGACAAACAAACCCACCGCCCAGCCUGGCUCCUCUCCUCAGCCCACCACACAGCUGGCUCUAUACAGGCCAGGUUCCCUCGCCAUCUGCUCCCCCUGCAGGUCAGCAUAACUCGGUAUUUAAGCCCUGUACAUAUCUACAUGUGUGCACUGGUGCUGCUGUGCACUGGUGCUGCUCCACUCUCUGCCAGUCAUACAAAGCCCAGCCCCUGCUCCUCCUAUGCCCCUCCAGCCUCAGUACAUCUCUCUCCAGUUCUACUCCUCUGCUCCUCCCAGCCCACAGACCCACUAAUGAAGCCAGUCUAUGCGCUCCCAUGCAUGUUGCCACCCGGCGCCCAGCGCAGGGAUGCAGUUUACACGGAUUUGUAAAUGUUUGGGGAUUGAUAAUGGCGGCUGGGCCAGAGAUCUAAUGGGAGACGCUGAAAGGCAGGGAUAUAGUGAUCUGCAGUCUGAAUGAUGCCAGUCUGACAGGCCCAGCCCUAUCGACCCAUCCGUGGGCCCACCACCCUGCCUGGUCCCAGCCCCAGUCCUAUCAACCCAUCCGUGGGCCCACCACCCUGCCUGGUCCCAGCCCCAGUC
ensembl:lncRNA